UCCAGAAUAUAUUCAACCUGUCUACGUUUGUUGAUUCAGCAGGGACAAAGCGAAAACUGAGCUCGGAUCAGCAUAUUGGCUCUAAUAUACUGGUUAAAUAUGAGCUCAGCAGGUCCCAGAGCAAAGCUUUGAUUAAAUCAGCGUCCACAGAGAGGCUGUGUUUUCACACAAAUCUGAUUUCUUCCCUCCAACUCCUUUUUCCGCAUCGCCGGGGCAAGAAACCCACCAAAAUUGUGAGAAGAUUAUCUCAAACCUCAUUCCUAAACAAAACUCCGCUCGAAAAGUUCAAAUCUCAAGAGGAAAGCUGCUCGAAAAGGCUUCCAAGACAUAUGAGAAAAAUGACGACCGUGGAUCUAACUCCGUCUAAACUCAAUAUAAAUUCUUAUUUUAGAAAAACUGAUGAACAACGCGUUCUUCAACACGGCGUCUGUCACGUGACGCCACGUACGAAAUGUACUAUAAUUCUCCGGCAGAGCGGAACAAUGACAUAUUUACGUUUUAUUUCCAACGAUGGAGUAAUAAUUUGUUUCCUUUUACAGUCUGAAAUCUCUCUGUACUGUCACUAAACUGUCUUGUUACAUAUAUCAAAACUAGAUCUUAGACUAAUGGUACUUCAGACUUGACAGAAAUGGUUUUAAAUUGCUGUGUAACGCAAUUUGCGAGUACUUAAGGUUAGGAACCGCGAAACACGUUCUCGGUCUGACAGAACAAGAAAAUGUCUACUCUGCCUUCCAUUAGGACGAACAGAAGAAACCGCUUUCAAUGGAGCUGUCAGUCAAAAUCCAUCUGCAAAGGGUAUUAUGAACAUAAUCAGUUCUGAGGUUGUUCCACUAAAUGUUAUGUCAAGUUGUGUUUGACUGACCAUCAAGCAACUGCAGAGUCACGGCCCGGUCCACAUAUUCCCACCAGUGUUUCCCAUCUGAAGAAACAGGAAUCUCCCAGUUGGACCACUUGCAGGCCAGGUGAAUACAGACACAUGCCACCACUGUGGGUUUGUGCUGCAGGCAGAAGGUGGUCAGGUGCAGACUGCAAGAGAGAAAAGAAAAGAGAAAAGACAAAACACUUAAUUACAAACAGAGGACACAAGAAAUGCUUCCCUAAGAACCUAAUUCAAUAAAUACUUCAGUUCAUUUCCAUUCUUCUUAGUUCAUCAUAAUAAUCAGGAUUAUUUCAUGUCAAAGCUGAUCAUAGUCCAGUCGGAUGCAUGUUUGCUAGAAUGUUGUUUGUCUGGUCAGCUGUAAAACAAAAUGGUAUGCAUGAAACAGAUUCAGUCAACAAAACAAAAUAUAACUUAAUUGACACUUAAAGUGUGGCAUCAAAUGCACAACACUCAACUGGUAGAGCAUGACACCAGCAAGUGUUUUCCACUCAAAAGCUUCAUUUACAACCUCAGUGAGUGGGCAUUAACAGCAACUCAACUUCCUGCUUGAAUGACCAAACCAGCGCAAAGUCAUCUGACUGGCUUGAAAUGAUCUUUUAUGCCUCGUUUCCACCGAGCGGUUCAGUACAGUACAGUUCAGUAUGGUAUGCAAUUUUUGCUGUUUCUAUUGUCAGAAGUUGUGAAUGGUACCAUAAUUCCAAACCGCCGCACUUUGUUGGGACCCUUCCGUUGGGGUACCUAGCACAGUAGUCCGGUACUACAGGGUAGAGCUAGACUCACUGCAGAAUGUUGACUGGUUGACAGAGAAUCGUCACUUACGCAUGCUACAAGGGUAAUGACAACACAAGAUGCGCUAUUUUUUAAUAAAGUUCAUACACAAUACCAUUUCUUCUUGUGACAAACAGCCACAUAUCGAGAAGCUAUUAACAAGAUCUGCUGUGUAUCCUUCGUUGUUGUUUACCGUGUCGCUUUCUUCUUCGCACGAGAAUGACAUCGUAAGGGUAUGUUGGUUGUGGAAACGCAAGCCAGAUCAGAGUUUACCGUCCCGAGUUGUACUCAACUGUACUGUACCGCUCAGUGGAAACGAGGCAUAAGACACAUUUCCAUUUAAAUCAAUUACCAGGCGCUUUUAUCCAAAGCGACUUAUAAAUGAGAACAAUAGAAGCAAUCAAACCAACAACAGUGCAACAAUAUGCAAGUGCUAUGACUAGUUAGUCUAGCACAGUACACAUAGCAAGGUUUUUAUAUAUAAUUAUAUAUAUAUAUAUAUAUAUAUAUAUAUAUAUAUAUAUAUAUAUAUAUAUAUAUAUAUAGAGAGAGAGAGA